rnacentral:rRNA from 1 species
AUUGAACGCUGGCGGCAGGCCUAACACAUGCAAGUCGAGCGGAUGAAGGGAGCUUGCUCCUGGAUUCAGCGGCGGACGGGUGAGUAAUGCCUAGGAAUCUGCCUGGUAGUGGGGGAUAACGUCCGGAAACGGGCGCUAAUACCGCAUACGUCCUGAGGGAGAAAGUGGGGGAUCUUCGGACCUCACGCUAUCAGAUGAGCCUAGGUCGGAUUAGCUAGUUGGUGGGGUAAAGGCCUACCAAGGCGACGAUCCGUAACUGGUCUGAGAGGAUGAUCAGUCACACUGGAACUGAGACACGGUCCAGACUCCUACGGGAGGCAGCAGUGGGGAAUAUUGGACAAUGGGCGAAAGCCUGAUCCAGCCAUGCCGCGUGUGUGAAGAAGGUCUUCGGAUUGUAAAGCACUUUAAGUUGGGAGGAAGUGCAGUAAGUUAAUACCUUGCUGUUUUGACGUUACCAACAGAAUAAGCACCGGCUAACUUCGUG